GGCGAAGAAGAUGCAGCAGAGCUCAGUCUGUCGCUGUCUUCCUCGAUGGGAACACUGGAGAUUUUAAUGGUCACUUAGAACACCACGUCCUGUUUGGCCCUGGUUCCACCGAGGUCUUCAAACAAGUGAGAACGCUGCUCGUCUGGACUUAAAUAAGGUUCGUGUCUCUACUCUGUUUCCAGCAGACGCUCCAAACGCUCGUCUGAAGUGAUGUUUAGCACUGGGCUCUGAAAUCAAUGGUGACAAAAGUGCAACGCUGCCCUUGACAAGGCAGAAUCUGAGCAGAUGAUGGUUCAAAGCUUUGAGGAUUGUGAUGUUGCUGUUGAGUGGUUGGUGACAGUUGUUUUACUCUUUUUCAGGUACUGAUUUCGAAACGGACGUCAUCUGCCUGCUUUUCUUUUGUGUUUACGUUUUAAAGAAUUGUCUUGUCUUUGCUCUGAAUUUCAAAUAAAACUCAAUUUUAAAUGU